rnacentral:lncRNA from 1 species
UUUUUUUUUUGCUUCAAUCGGCCGCCCAACAUCCAUAUUUGACUAAUCCUGCCUCUGCUACUGCUCCUUGAUGAACCCAGGUGAUUUGAUUGCCCCACAAGCCAUGAAGAUCCUUCAGUAGCCUUUUGUCUCCUUUUGGACAUGGCCAAAAGUCUCACCCCCCAUGCUUGCACUAGUAGAAAAACACCUAAUAGUCCCGGUUCGUGAGAGCCUUUAGUCCCGGUUCAUGAACCGGGACUAAUGGGUCGUUACUAAUACCUCCAUUCAUUAGUCCCAGUUCAAACAAGAACCAGGACUAAUGUGCCUCCACGUGGCUCUGUGCGCCCAGCCCAGUCAGCGGGCCUUUGGUCCCGGUUGGUGGCAUCAACCGGGACCAAAAGUCCAUGUUUUUUUUUGAAAAGUGUCUGCUUUAGGGGUUUUGGGGGUUAUUUUUAGGUUGUUAUAUUAGCUAGCUAAUAGAGAGAAGUGUCCUCUCUUAUAUCUUCGUUCUUGGUUUACCAACGCUGCUGCUAUAUAUGUUCAUUUUCCCCGCUGAUAUAAUAACUCAUGCAUGCUCGCAUACAUCAGCAUAUAUAAUAAGAAGUACUCGUCCUACUAAUCAUGCAUCAUCAUACAACUUCUACUCGUUAUUAAUAAUAAGUCAUACGAUCAUCAUCCUCAUAGUCAUCGAACCCAACCCUACAUAAUUGUUCUUAACACAUGAUCAUCAGUAUCAGGUAGGACCUAAACACCCUUAAGGUAAAAUAGCAUAAAACAAUAUAGACCCUGACUCUCCAUUAUGAAGAAUGGCGAUCAUCCUGUCUCCAAUUUUUGCCCUUCGCUGAAUGUUGCUUCCAAGAAGCUCCUUACGACUGUCCAUACAUUUUUUCCAUUAUUUGAUUGUCAUGUCUCCACUUCUUUUAGAAACCUGGUAUGGACAGUUCAGAUUCGUAGGAAGACCUGGUUGUAUGUUCAAAAUAUGAAGGCUACCGUGUGUAUACAUCAGAUGAGGCACACAAUCAUUCGGGAUUAUCUGUUGAAAAACAUAGUAAUAACUUCGUAGUUAGCAAUGAUAUGAUGUACUAGUUUUAGAAGCGUGCAAAAAGAUGCACGGAUGUUGUAAUAGUAAAAAAUCUUACCCGGGUAUCUCCAUGGUAGUUACCGUAGUUCAACACGUGCACUAGUGACACGUAUUGACCAUAAUGUUGAGGAGUUCGAUUGUAGACAUUGUAAUUCUCAAGAUCAGUACAAAAUGCGACCAGAUGAUUUUUCUCCUGAUAAGUUAGUUCGGAGCCUUCGGUGUAGUAGGUUCUGUCUACCAUCUUCCGCACAUUCUUUGAAGAAUGAAAAUAAGCUGUCAAUGGAGAAUAAGUUGUCAACUAUUUUGAAAUAAACAAUAUAAACUACUUAAUAACUAUGUUAAGCUCACAUGGGGGAAGAAUUGAAGGUGUAUCCACAAGGACGAAAAUCGUAGGUCUCUCUUGCUCGAUUGUAGGAUCACCAAGAUCCAUGGUACAAGCAUACCCUCAUCAAAACCAUACAUCUUGCAAAGUGCUUCCCAAUUUUUACAACCAAAAUGGGUUACACUCUGAGCAUUGUACAACUUUACUUGAAAAUCCACACCAUGAUGGGUACUUAGGAUAAUUUUUUUGGUUUUGAAACUUUCAUGGUCUUCAAAACCCAUCCUCUCCAAGACAUAGCGUCUUGCAAAGCAUGGGAUAAGCUAGUUGAAUUGGAAAAGAUGAAAAAUAUUGUCAUGAUUAAAAUAGUUGAAGUCAUGAGUAAUUACGAAAAAAAACUAUUAUCGUCGGUUGCGUACCGUAUGAACAUCGAAGGUCUCCUCGAGCUUAAUGCUGAAGCGACGAUCUUCGUCCAACACAAUGAACCUAUCGCAGAUACCUCGGUCGUCGUGGCACCAGUCACACUCCCCCGGGCGGUUUUCGUCGUCCGAUGAGUACGACAUUUCCGGCCUACGUUCAUAAUUCAAAUAUUAAACUAGAUCAUUAUUAUUAAUCACGGGUUGACUAUCGAUGAUCGAUGUACGUAACUCCUCCUUUCAUUUCCGAAUGCAUUAUUAUAUCAAAUUGCCUAGCACACGGGAAUGAAGGAGAACUUAUCCAAUAUGAACAUUCAAUAAGCAAAACCAAAUUAUAAAAUAAGCAAAACCAAAUCAUAAAAUAAAGUAUAGUAUUCAAAUUAGCAUGCAUUCAAUAAUUAUAAGCAAAAGUACAUCAUCUCUUGGUGUCCGUACAUCGUCGAAUAUUAUCACUAAUACAACUAGAACCGUAGCGCCCGACGGGUAUCGACGCGGGCGGUGGACACCCAAAGAUAAGGAACCAUCACAGGAUCAUAGCUCCAGUGAGAUCCCUGAAGAACCUGCCAGGUAUUGUCGAACCUGCCCUCCAAUGCAACCAUGUAGUCACGGACGUGCUCAUCCUCCUCGCUGACACGGUGACGUACCACCUCCGCGGUGUCCGGAUGCCUCACCACCGUCACUGGCCCACGCGACCGCCACCAAACAAGGAUCGGGUCAACAACGGGCUGCCUCCUCACCAACCUACGUCCCCUGGAAGGUAGCACCUCCACUACUAGAAUCUGGCACUUUGCCAUCUGCCAUGGCAGAUGGCAAAGACAUGGUUAGCGGAUGGCAAAGGCUUUGCCAUCUGCCAGCAGAUGGCAAACAGUUUGUCUGAAACCCUGCCGGUAAAGGCUUCUUUGCCAUCAGCUGGCAGAUGGCAAAGCCUCUUAACGAGGUUAGCCAUGUUAGAAGCCUAACGGCAUACUUUGCCGUCUGCCAGCAGAUGGCAAAGGCUGCAGGCUCUUUGCCGUCUGCCAACAGAUGGCAAAGGCUGCAUGCUUUGCCAUCUGCCAGCACAUGGCAAAGAGCUUUGCCAUCUGCCGGUAGAUGGCAAAGAGCCCAAAUAGGCCAGCCCAAAUUUUACAUGUAGAUGACACGUGGCCUCUUUGCCAUCUGCUGGUAGAUGGCAAAGUGACUAUAUUGCCCCAUUUAAUUUUAUUUUUUCUUAUAUCAAUUCAUUUUCACCUUCCAAUGAAAUCAGAUAGCAAUAUCAGGGCAUGAACAGAUCUAAAGAACACAAACCACAAGCAUAGACUCGGAGAAGACCAGGCACGACCACUGUGACGUCACUUCCCUUAAUAAUUAUAUCCUUACACUAUACACGUUUCACAACUAUAAUUUGAACACCUGCUUGCCAUAAAUAAAUAUAUGUUUACACUAUACACAAGUGAAUCAUGUUGUGUCAUUUACAUGACGGGUAAAUUAAAUGAACAUGUCUUGAUUAGGUACGACAUACGUUGGACAAGGAAGAGACCUGCAGAUAAAUAACACAAUUAAACAAACAAGUACUGAAAUAUAAGUGUUCCGCAUUAAGCUUGCUAGUAAGGAAAAUAUCAGGAGAUGGCUUGCUAGCUUUCACUUCUAAAUCACCCCCAUGGCAACUUGAUACAUCAGAGCAAGAAAACAUUCCCCAAUGGUUACAAACCUUCGGUGUAAAAUGACAUUCAUGGGAUCUGAAGACAUCACUAAGAAAUAUCAGGUUCUAUAUGAGUCUGACUUAUUAAAGAACAGAGGGCAAUGACGAAAAGUGUACUACAUUAAAUCAAGGCCAAAUGAUACAUUGCAUGCAUCAGCGAGCAGAAAAAUAAAUGGUGUCUAAUAUUAUAUUUUCCCCUUCCAAUAGAGAGACUCCUUCUAUAUGUUUAACCAGUGAUUAAUUCCGGUUACACCAAAUAAACAUAGUUCUAAAUGAUACCAACAUUUUUUAUGAAACAAAGGACAACCAAACUAACUCCCCUCGCGUGGAAACUUCAUGUCCUUUCAACUCUGAAAUUCCACCAAAGGUAAGCAUACAAUAAUUUUAUAGUGUAUAAUUAUACAAAAGAAGAACAUGUUACGUGUGUAGAUAGCGCAAGGUAGCAUAUUAUCAUUGAGAGCAUAUAUUAGCACAUAGUAUGAUGAAAAUUGGAACCGGAUGUACUGUCAGCAUGUCUUUCUCCUUAUUCUGUAUAUCAUCAUUUCCUCUACACUUGACAUGAUAGCUUGAGAAAAAAAGAUGAGUAUCCAGAUAUGUACAUAGUUAUGGCUAGAUUCCUUGUUUUGUCCAAGAAAGAUAAGUCAUGAGCCCAUCAUCUUAUUACAGCAAGGCACAUCUCUACCAGUGGUGCAAGAGGUGUAAAUUUUAUAUUUUCUUUUCAAGAAAAAACUCCUGCAAUUUCCAAAUGCAUGGCCGCAGCCGCUGGCUGCAACGUCGACCCAAUGGUGCUUGUCUGGGCGAAGUACAAGGCCGUUGGGCUCGUCGCCGGGGAGUUCUGCAACCCACAUCAGUUUCUAUGACUAUAAUUUCUACUAUUGUACUCUUUGUAGUUUUUAAUGCAUAAAUUAAUCUAAUGUUGGGAGAUUUCCAAGGACUAACUAAGACAAUAAGAAUCGGAGAGGAGAGUUUCUCAACAGCAACAAAAUGAAUUAGAGGAGAGUCAACUAACCUUCCUUUCUUGCUUCGUCACCCCCUCAUGGGUUAUGAGCUAUGACGACCAUGACGCCGGCCGUGCGUCCGAGCGCCUGUGGUCUGUACAUCGACGACCUGCCCUUUUCUCAUUUUCUGGUCACCGAAGAGUUCAAUCGACCAGAAACAUGGAAGGGCGAGAGUACUCAUGUUCCUGCCCUGUGUGUGUUUUCUUUGCGCGAAAGUUCCUGUUUCAGUAACAGAGGUAGAACAAUCAGAAAAUGAGAAGGUCUUUCACUUCCUUACAGAAUGAAAUUUCUGUCUUGCAAGUUUACAAAGUCAUCAAGUUAAGCACUUACGAUAAAAUUAUCUGACUCAGAAAGCUGAUAUCACUCAUACAAAAAACAUGUUAUACAAUAUUGAGUUUUGACAUAGCUAUCAAAUCUGAACUGAACUUCACAGAAUUCAAAAGUUGUAUAGCUGACAAUGGGCCGUAGAUGAUAAUUUUUCUGAGAAUAUAUAUGCUAGUUAGGCAAUCCUAAGAAGAGCUGGUAAAUAUCAAGAGGCAUAUGCAUACAACUGUACUACCGUAAAAGGAAAUAGGGAAGAACUCACCCGAUCAGAGCCAAGAGAACAAUGAGAACAUCCAGCUUACAUGCAACACCAUCGGUGGUAAAACUGCUGCUGUCCCUAAACUGAAGAAAAUAUCAAAGAAAUUAAACCAUCAUUACCAAUGAGUGGAUUUGUAAGAAAACCAACAACAUGAAGAUCCUUGAUGUAUUAGUAAUUAAUAGGACUAGUCGUCAACCCGUGCAUCCGCACGGGCUAGUCUAUAUAGGUACUAAAACAUUUAUUUGAUAAACCAUAUUUAGAGAUAUAAAAUAUAAAAGUACUACAUUUACCCACUUGUUUUAUUGGAAACAUGCAAAUUUAUGGUUGCUUAUAUAGGAAAAGAAAAUUGUUUAUUUUUUCCAUGAUUAAUGCUAACAAAUACAAAUUCAGAUGUACACGAAAUCAUAAAAAGUGAUGUUGCAAUAACUUAAACACUUUUGAUGACAUCUCAUUUUUGGUGCAUUUACCUGAGUUUUUCCUUGCUUCUUUACUUCAAAAAUAAAGCAUGUGUGUAAAAACCUGAUAGAAUUGAUGCCAUAUGUAUCUUAUUUGUGAGCUUGAACGACUGAAAAUCUUGAAGAGAAUACAAACUUUGAAAAUUAUAGAAACUACAGGUAAUUAUUGUAUUUGUUAUUCAUAGAUCUCAUCUUCCAUUUAUGCCACUACCAAGAUCGGUUCUUCAUAUAUGAGCUUUGAGAUCCAAUUAUUCGUUACUUGGUGCCCUGCAUAAUGAGUAAGAAGGUACGUAGUCAAACGCGUCUCAGCUGACAUAUUAAAAUAAAAAAUGAUUUGUUUCUUAUGGCAGCUAAUGUGUGUGCCAUCUAGUAACAGGUCCAAAAAUAUAUCGUAAGAGGCCACACAAUGGCAGCAUCACCAGUUCCUUUGUUGUAGUUUAAAGGCAGCCUCAGAUUUCACUGUGGAAUAGGAAAACCACGUUCCUAAGAAAAUUAUCAGGUGAUUCCACAUGCAUAAGAAACGUUCUUCAUUAAUUUAUUCACCAUCCGAAACCCUACUGAAGCAGAGUUUUGUACAAAACAUCCAGUCAUCAAUUAUUCAAGAUGUACUAAGACAACUCAUUAUAAGUUUAUAACCAGCUGUCUAUGUACAAUUCUGAUCUCUAUGAAAAGUUCAAACAAUUAGUUUAAGAUUAGGCAGUAAGACUGCUGUUCAUUAACUAAAAUAUUCAGAGAUGGAUCUUCACAAAAGACAAUUAUUUUCGAUACCAAAUAUGAAAGUGUGAUCUCGGAAAAGAAUUUACUUUGUAACAGAAUAGUACCACACUAUUAGAAAAGGGCAAUGGGUAAAAAAAAAACAUGACAGAAGAAGUGCCAACCUACUGUUCUACCAGUACAACAAAGCCGUAAUACGGAAACUAAAAGGACACUUAAUUAGGAGCUCCUAGCUCAAGAAUAGCUAAUAGCAUCAUCCUCCCUUUUUCAAGCUAACCUAAUUAUACAUCAUCAUAACAAAUAUUUGAAAAGGGAAACAUUAUUAAAAUGACCAUAAAACAGCAUGAUAUAUGUCCAUAAAUACAAACUACAAAGAGCAGGUUAGUAAUAUAGCACACAAUAAUUUGAACUAACUCAAUCAUUGCAGGUCUGUACAUGCAAGCUUAACAUGAAAUACCAUAGCUUUUCUUGUGUGUGAGUUUCUCCUUCCAACACACAGAAAUUGCGAUAUACUUUGUUUGUAUUGGUCAUCAGAAUGAGAAUAUGAAUCUUUUGAAGUGAUUUUUCAUUGCAGUAAGGAUACUGUCAUAACAAUCUGAUGGCUUGUUAGAGUUUUGACGACAUACGAUUUCCUAGAUUUAACCUACAAAAAAAUGAUCUAUAAGUUAUACCGUAGCCGUUUUUAUUUCAGUAAAUUUUAAUUAGAUAAAUGUCAUAAUAUAGAGCAUCUACAAACAGAGAUUGCAUAUAAUGUCACACGGGCUUGCUAUUACCUUGUUAAAUCUAUCUAUAUGUUUGCUUCAAACCAAAAUCAAGUGAAUCAUUAUAAAUCAUUGUUCCAAGAAAAUAAUAAGCUAAGUGCACAUCUUCAACCAGGGAGUUCUGUUCAAGCUCGGCGCAUAAAGAAAUUUAGUGCUACAUCCACAUGAGCUGUGAAAUUCUUUGUGCAAAUCUAUUUCUGUUUCACCACAUUGUUGCACUGAAAGUAUUGGAUUACCUGAAUAGAUCGAUCCAGCAGCGCGAGCCAACAGCCGGGAGCCUGCUCCCCUCCGUCGCGGGCCACUGCCGUGCCGCGCAGCUCCAGUCGCCGCGGGCCGCGACGCCCGCCUCCCGCCGCCUUGGGCCCCGCCGCGUCGCGCCCAGCGGCGUGAGCGAGCGAACAACCGUGAGCCGCGGCGCCCGCCUCCCGCCGCCUUGGGCCCCGCCGCGUCGCCCACGCCUCCAGCCGCCGCUCGCUAGGGUUGCUGUGUGUGAGUCGGGGUGGA